rnacentral:rRNA from 1 species
AAUGAACGUUGGCGGCGUGGAUUAGGCAUGCAAGUCGAGCGAGGAGAGUUUGGUAGCUUGCUAUUGAACUCGGAAAGCGGCGAAAGGGAGAGUAACGCGUAGUUACGUGCCCCAGGGUUCGGAAUAGCCACGGGAAACUGUGGGUAAUGCCGAAUAACAUCUCCGGAUCAAAGGUGUGAUUCCGCCCUGGGAGCGGACUGCGUCCUACUAGCUAGUUGGCGGGGUAAUGGCCCACCAAGGCAACAAUGGGUAGCGGGUGUGAGAGCAUGACCCGUCUCACUGGGACUGACACUGCCCAGACACCUACGGGUGGCUGCAGUCGAGAAUCUUCGGCAAUGGGCGAAAGCCUGACCGAGCGACGCCGCGUGCGGGAUGAAGGCCCUCGGGUUGUAAACCGCUGUCGUAGGGGAGGAAGGCUCCAUGAAGAAUGGGGUUUGACCUAUCCUAGGAGGAAGUACGGGCUAAGUUCGUGCCAGCAGCCGCGGUAA